rnacentral:rRNA from 1 species
AUGCAAUUGAGAAAAUGCGAUAUCAAAGGUAUUCGUAGUUUCCUUGGUCAUGCUGGUUUCUAUAGAAGAUUUAUCAAAGACUUCUUUAAAAUUUCUAGGCCUCUUACAAAUCUUUUGCAAAAGGAUAUUCCUUUUGUUUUUUAUGAUGAUUGUGUAGAAGCCUUCGAAACACUCAAGAAAGCCUUAAUUUCUGCACCUGUUGUUCAACCACCUGAUUGGAACUUGCCUUUUGAAAUUAUGUGUGAUGCUAGUGAUUAUGUUGUUGGUGCUGUUUUAGGACAAAGAGUUGAUAAGAAAUUGAAUGUUAUUCACUAUGCAAGUAAAACUCUAGACAGUGCACAAAGAAAUUAUGCUACCACUAAAAAAGAAUUUCUAGCGGUUGUGUUUGCUUGUGAUAAAUUUAGAUCCUAUAUUGUGGACUCAAAAGUAAUAGUUCACAUUGAUCAUGCCGCAAUAAAAUAUCUUAUGGAAAAGAAAGAUGCUAAACCUAGGCUCAUUAGAUGGGUUCUGUUCCUACAAGAAUUUGAUUUGCAUAUUAUUGAUAGGAAAGGAGUUGAGAACCCCAUAGCUGAUAACUUGUCUAGGUUGGAGAAUGUUCUUGAUGACCCACUACCUAUUGAUGAUAGUUUUCCUGAUGAGCAAUUAGCUGCAAUAAAUGUUUCUAAUAGCACACCUAGGUAUGCUGACUAUACUAAUUAUAUUGUUGCUAAAUAUAUACCUCCUAGCUUCACAUACCAACAAAACAAAAAAAUUCUUUUAUGA